GGUACACUAGUCGAGUUGGGCUACCUCUUCGCUGAUAAUGAAGAGGUCCCAGGUUCAAGUCCUGGUAGCCCCA
rnacentral:tRNA from 1 species